GUGCAAAUGCCCCAGUCCGUCUCCAGUCUCCGAUCCUGGAACGUGUCACUGAGGGUCACACUGCCCGGUUACUGUGCACCCUGAGGAACGCCGCAAUGACAAACACCGAUGCUUACUGGUACCGGGAGCAAGCAGGAGGAAGGACGGAGUGGAUUUUGAUACAUUCUACGUUGAAUGACGUACAAUGGUACCCAGGAUUCACUGAGCGAUUCCAGUCUUCCAGAGACUCCUCUGGUAGCAACUUCAUUCUGACCAUCACAAAUGUGCAGCCCAGUGACAGUGGAGUCUAUUACUGCUCAGUCUGGAGAAGUAUCCCUGGUGGAGGAAGCCUGCUCAUUGUAGACA